UAAAGUUAAGACGUAUCAUUGCACUUGACAUUUAUUAAUUGUGUAAUAUUUACAGUUGUGUUAUUUUCCACAUCCUGCUACUGACUAAUUAUUGGUUGCAUACAAUGAAAAUUUCGAAGAAUUAGAAAGACGCCACAGAAUUCAAAAUGGCAUCACGUGAUUAAUGGCGGUUUAUCACUCUUUCCUCUUCUUGCUUUCUACGCAGGAUCUAGUGAUACUUCAAAAGCUAAGAAUAUUUCUUCAAGCUUUCAUUUCAUGAAAUUGGACGAUUUCUAUUUGGUGACUAGAUUACAAUUCAUCGAUGACAAUGUUCUUCGCAUUUCAUCUUUGUUUCAGAAACCAUUCUGACAUCAAUAGAAGAGGAUUCGUAUCUUACAUCAUGUCCGAUACAAUAUUUUAUUCCUUCUAUCUAUCUCCAUUUCAUUUCCAAAUUUUUUUUAAAACAUAUGACGGGCGAAAUAAAAAUUUAGUGCAGUUUAUGAAUUAAUGAUUAGCAAAGAAUUUCUUUCCAAUAAUA